ensembl:lncRNA
UUUUUUUUUUAAUUUAUCUAAUAUCUCACAACAAUAAGAACAUGGAUUUGUGCCUGUAGAAAUCUUGGAUGGCUGGUGAGAGAAGCCAGCGGUGGCAGAGACGCAGACUCUGGUCUUAACACUCUUCCCGCUGUGAGCUUUGAUUGACACUUCUGUCAUCUGAAUUCUUUAGCAUGGCAAAUGUUCUCAACCUAAACCCUGUUUUGUCUGUCAUCAUAAUUUAUUUAAUCAUAUUUUACCAUACCUUUCACCCUUCCCCCAUCCCCUCUUGCCACAGAUACACACUUUUUUCUCUCUCUCUUUCUGCUCCAUAACGUAAACUAGGCUUUUUUGUGUCGCAUUUAUCAAAGGAACGGCCGGGUGAUGUGAAUUAAGACAGAUUAUUGGUCAAUAAUUCAGAAGAUGCCAUAGAUGAACUAGACCCACCAGACCACCUGAUGCUGGAGUGAAGAUCUGGGAUGUAAAUAAAUAAUAGCAUUCUUUUCAGUUGUGCUUUAAUAACAUAAAAUAUUUAGCUAUUUGGAUGAUUGAAUUUCUGCUAAAUUACAGGUUGCCUGAAGAUGCGGUGAGGGAAACGCCGGCCGAUGUGUGUAAACGGGAAGCUGUCCAGAGCAGGAACAUCACACACACUCCAGCCCCAGGUUAGCGCUGGAAAAGUUUCUCUUCCCACUGACAUGGAAAAGUGGGAUAGAUCUCGGAGAAGCGUUGACGUUCCCAUCCAGAAGAAUUCCAGCACCCCCUAAUGUCACAAUGGAGUUACUGAAGUACUCAACUCACAACAGCACAACAGUUUAAAAGCAAAAAAACAGCCAAGAGGUACUUGCAUUUCCAAACUCUGGUGGAAGCUGAGAGGAACAAUGUUACAGUAAUUGUCAAUAGUGCCGCCAAAAGUUUUAAAGUUGAAAUGGAGCAGUGAGUAAUUUGGCUAAAUCUGUUUCAUUUAUGUAGGAGUACACAAAGCUAGAAAUGUACCCUGGAGGUACAAUAAGUCAUUUCCAUGUUUUAAGUUUGUUUUAAGUGUUCACACUGAGAGAAGAAUGAUGUGUUAUUGCCCCGAGGUAAAGAGACAAACUUCCUGCACAUGUUCUCUGAGGAGACAAGAACUUCCUGAGGUUAAAAGUCAACACCGGAUGAAAUACUUGCUUACUAGUUACUGAAUACUGCAUACUAUUUGAAAAACAUCAGUAUUAAGAAAGCACAAGUAUGCAUAACUGUCAUGUUUUUAAUAUAAUUCUAUGCAAUCCAAUCAAUACUAAUGACAGAAUUGUUGAUAUUAGUGCAGAAGUAGUGAGAUGGUAGUAGGCUUUCCAAACAGAACCAGGAUGAACGAUACAAUCAAAAUCAUUCCUCUAUUUCAGCAGCAUCUUUGGGCAUUAGUUAGUCACAGUUACAUUUGGUGUAUUUAGUCUUUCUUUCUGUCAUAAUUUGGCUUUGAACGUGUUUGGCAUAUUCUCUGUUUAGCUAACAGCUUGAGGGACUCGAUUUGGAGAAGUGUAAUAUAAUUAUGAGCUUAUUAAUAUGUGUGUUUGCAUGUGUUGUGAAAAAUGUGGUAGACAUCGUCAUUUGCUCUGCUGCCUUUCCACCUUUGCUCAGGUGUUAAACCUCUAUGAGAUAUGCAGAGUGAUUUUUGAUGAUAGAUAUGAUGGGUGUUAACUAGUCUCAAGCAACUAGUUCUGGUGCAUGGAAUAUGCAAAGUACAGUAAUGCUCAAUAUUCAUCACUUAAUAUGCAUAGAAAUAGAUUA